UAGGGAAUAUUGCACAAUGGGGGAAACCCUGAUGCAGCGACGCCGCGUGAGUGAUGAAGGCCUUCGGGUCGUAAAGCUCUGUCGUAUGGGACUAACAAAAUGAAGGUACCAUGCAAGAAAGGAUCGGCUAACUUCGUGCCAGCAGCCGCGGUAAGACGAGGGAUCCUAGCGUCGUUCGGAAUUAUUGGGCGUAAAGCGGGUGUAGGCGGACUUAUAAGUCAGGUGUGAAAUCCCAGGGCUCAACCCUGGAAGUGCACUUGAUACUGCAAGUCUUGAGUGUGGUAGAGGCUAUUAGAAUUCCUAGUGUAGAGGUGAAAUUCGUAGAUAUUAGGAAGAACACCAGUGGCGAAGGCGGCUCACUGGAUCGGUACUGACGCUGAGGUGCGAAAGCGUGGGGAGCAAACAGGAUUAGAUACCCCCGUAGUCCCUGAGCGGGCUGGCAAGGCGCAU
rnacentral:rRNA from 1 species